GUCACUCUUUGAUCCUUCUCACUGUAAAAUUUUGUUCUGGGUUUCUUUUUUUUGGUUUUUGAGUUUUUAUUAUUUGCGCUACUGCUUGAUUCUUUUUUUCGUAGAAAAUAAAUAAAUGAAUAAAAGAAGUCUUUCCUUAAACCUGGUAUUUAAUUUUCUCAUUGCAUCUUCCUCUUAUUUUUCGGAUGCGAAUUUUGUGAUUCAGUUUGGUCCGCUUCCUGUUCUGGACGAAAUUCUGAAUUUUUCAUGCGCAAAUUGGUUUAUUUGAUUGUGGGGUUUGAAGGUAUGGAUGCAAUCUGGGUUAUCUGUUCUGUUUGUGGUUAUAAUCAGUAGGGUUUGAGGGGUUUUUGGUUUUGGUAGGAAUUUUGAAUUUUUUUUGGUGUUGGGUAUGUGGAGCUGGGUAAAUUGGAUUGUGAUUUGAUAUGAUAUGGUGUUUCUUCCCUUUCUUCUUUCUGUCACUUCUGUUAUUUGGAUCUGAUUUUGCUAUAGUUUUUUAAUUCCUGCUUUGAUCUGUGUACCGAUUUUUCUCUUCCAUUGCAUGCUUUGAUGAUCUGAUGUUGCUUAGCCAAUUCCAUAAUAUUCUAACAGUUCGAUCUGUUUGGCAUCUUAACAAUUCAAUUGAGUUUGACUAGGGAAAAGUAUCCAUAUAACACUAUAAUGUGCAAUAAGCCAUUCUCUUGGACAAUCUGUUUGGAGCCUUGACAUUAAACUACAUUACGAAUAAUCGAAGAUAUAGUUUGGAUUGAUGUACUUGAUCUCAUUAUUUUGGUGACAAAUUAUCCUCUGUUGUGUUGGUACAAUUGCGAUAGCGAAUGUUAGAAGCAAGGUUGAUUCUUGACAUGUAUUUGGGAUAUAGAUCUGCUAACUAACUCCAUUAAGAAACUGGAAUUCUCUUGUUUUGUAUUUGCAUUGCAUUCUGAUUCAUCUCAUAUUAUCUUCCCCAAUAAUUUGGUUCUAGUUCAUGCAAACGAGUAGUUUUGCUAUUUGACUUAAGCCAUGCAAUAGAGUUUGCAGUUUUUCCUUUGCGUUUAUGUGCUUCAAAUGGUACCACAUCCACCAUUUCUGCUUUCAUAUAAUUUCAUGUUGAAGUUUUUGAAUAAUUUCUUAGAAAGUAUUAUAUUUAUAUUUUGCAGUGAAUUUAAUUUGAGGGUGUGAUCUAAAGUAGAGCAUCUCUUCUGUAAUUGCAGGUUGCUAAAGAUCCUUCUGGCAAA
rnacentral:misc_RNA from 1 species